rnacentral:lncRNA from 1 species
AUGUCCCCCUCCUCAGUGUGACUAAAUGGAUCAGAGGCUUUCCUCCUCUACAGGACACUGGCCAGAAGACUACUGGAGAGUUUGAACAGGGGACCCUGCUGUCUCCCCUGUGACAUCGGCCCAGAACAAGUCCAGCUGCUGAUUGCCUGGCGGGACCCAAAAGUGCGAGUGUCACAGAAAGCAUUGAGGACUAGGCCUACAGCUCUCCCCUGUGAUGAGGCGCUGAGGGUUGGCAGCCCUUUGGCCCUUGAGGAAGAUGAGAAAGUGCGUGACUCAGAAUGUCAGAACAGGCAGUGCCCUUUGAAUCACAACAUCGACUUUGCCUUCUUACAAACAGGGCCGCUGAGCACAAGAGCAAGCAAGUGCCUUCCUCACUGUCAUAGAGCGUCUCGUGAGUGGCAGAGUCAAGACAACAACCCAGGUCCCUGGACUCCCAGAAUCAUCAACCCUUUGUGGAAACCAUGGAAAGACGGUGCUGGAAAAAUAAUGACAAGCAUACCACGCUGUGGAGACAACCAGAAGCCCUGCUCAGACUGUGGAGUCCUCCUCACCUUCC